rnacentral:rRNA from 1 species
GGAUGAACGCUAGCGGCAGGCCUAAUACAUGCAAGUCGAGGGGCAUCGCAGGUAGCAAUACUGGGCGGCGACCGGCAAACGGGUGCGGAACACGUACGCAACCUUCCUUCAAGAGAUGGAUAGCCCGAAGAAAUUCGGAUUAAUACAUCGUAAAAUCACAGUGUGGCAUCACAUAAUGAUUAAAGAAUUUCGCUUGAAGAUGGGCGUGCGCCUGAUUAGGUAGUUGGUGAGGUAACGGCUCACCAAGCCGACGAUCAGUAACUGGCGUGAGAGCGCGACCAGUCACACGGGCACUGAGACACGGGCCCGACUCCUACGGGAGGCAGCAGUAAGGAAUAUUGGUCAAUGGACGGAAGUCUGAACCAGCCAUGCCGCGUGAAGGAUGAAGGCCCUCUGGGUCGUAAACUUCUUUUAUCUGGGACGAAAUCAUCUUUUUCUAAGGAUGUUGACGGUACCAGAGGAAUAAGUACCGGCUAACUCCGUGCCAGCAGCCGCGGUAAUACGGAGGGUGCAAGCGUUAUCCGGAUUCACUGGGUUUAAAGGGUGCGUAGGCGGAUUUGUAAGUCCGUGGUGAAAUCUCCAGGCUUAACCUGGAAACUGCCAUGGAUACUAUAAAUCUUGAAUGUUGUGGAGGUUAGCGGAAUAUGUCAUGUAGCGGUGAAAUGCAUAGAUAUGACAUAGAACACCAAUUGCGAAGGCAGCUGGCUACACAAAUAUUGACGCUGAGGCACGAAAGCGUGGGGAUCAAACAGGAUUAGAUACCCUGGUAGUCCACGCCCUAAACGAUGAUUACUCGACAUUUGUGAUAUACAAUAAGUGUCUGAGCGAAAG